rnacentral:sRNA from 1 species
UUUUUCAUUUAACUCAUUAUUUUUUUUUUUAUAUUUAUUCUUCAGUUGACAAUCAGUUUUUGUGCAAAUCAAACAUUUAAUCUUUACAUGUUUAUAUCUUCAUCUAUGACUAGAAACUCAAUGCAUAACAAAAAGUCAUUGACGUGGUUUUAGGAGAUAAUGCAGUUGUUUACACCAUAUACUGUUUAUUAUGCAUUUUGUGUGGAAAGAAAAGCUGUACAAAAAAAGUAUGGGAACAUAAUACAUAGCUAGGAUUUUAUAUUUUCUUUGAGGCAUGAAUACUGAUUGCCAAAAAUGGCAUCAAAUUCCAAUUGAAUUGUCAAAUAUUUUUGGAAUUUAAGAUUUUCUUCUUGGGAGCAUAUAUAUACAUGUUUGUAAAGUACUUAUAAUCCUACUUUACAUUUUUUUUUUAAAUGUUUGUUAAUGAUAUUUUUGAUAAAUUAAUUGUUUGUUGUGCAUCAUUACAUUCGUGCUUUUUAAAGGCCUAUUUCUGUAUGCAAUAUUUGUGUGACUGUCCUGAUUUCCUUCAGUUGUGGGAGUUGUCUCUCUUUUUCAAAUGUGAAAAACUGGUAUGAUUUAACUUCCAUAUGUUUCCUGAAUAUAUGCUUUUUGAGUGGAUGUCUGUCAACUUAUUGUGAUCUGAUAUCAUUUAUUUUAUAAAUAAAGCGUUAUAUC